GGACGAACGCUGGCGGCGUGCUUAACACAUGCAAGUCGAACGGAAAGGCCCUGCUUUUGUGGGGUGCUCGAGUGGCGAACGGGUGAGUAACACGUGAGUAACCUGCCCUUGACUUUGGGAUAACUUCAGGAAACUGGGGCUAAUACCGGAUAGGAGCUCCUGCUGCAUGGUGGGGGUUGGAAAGUUUCGGCGGUUGGGGAUGGACUCGCGGCUUAUCAGCUUGUUGGUGGGGUAGUGGCUUACCAAGGCUUUGACGGGUAGCCGGCCUGAGAGGGUGACCGGCCACAUUGGGACUGAGAUACGGCCCAGACUCCUACGGGAGGCAGCAGUGGGGAAUAUUGCACAAUGGGCGGAAGCCUGAUGCAGCAACGCCGCGUGCGGGAUGACGGCCUUCGGGUUGUAAACCGCUUUCGCCUGUGACGAAGCGUGAGUGACGGUAAUGGGUAAAGAAGCACCGGCUAACUACGUGCCAGCAGCCGCGGUGAUACGUAGGGUGCGAGCGUUGUCCGGAUUUAUUGGGCGUAAAGGGCUCGUAGGUGGUUGAUCGCGUCGGAAGUGUAAUCUUGGGGCUUAACCCUGAGCGUGCUUUCGAUACGGGUUGACUUGAGGAAGGUAGGGGAGAAUGGAAUUCCUGGUGGAGCGGUGGAAUGCGCAGAUAUCAGGAGGAACACCAGUGGCGAAGGCGGUUCUCUGGGCCUUUCCUGACGCUGAGGAGCGAAAGCGUGGGGAGCGAACAGGCUUAGAUACCCUGGUAGUCCACGCUGUAAACGGUGGGUACUAGGUGUGGGGUCCAUUCCACGGGUUCCGUGCCGUAGCUAACGCUUUAAGUACCCCGCCUGGGGAGUACGGCCGCAAGGCUAAAACUCAAAGGAAUUGACGGGGCCCCGCACAAGCGGCGGAGCAUGCGGAUUAAUUCGAUGCAACGCGUAGAACCUUACCUGGGUUUGACAUGGAUCGGGAGUGCUCAGAGAUGGGUGUGCCUCUUUUGGGGUCGGUUCACAGGUGGUGCAUGGCUGUCGUCAGCUCGUGUCGUGAGAUGUUGGGUUAAGUCCCGCAACGAGCGCAACCCUUGUUCACUGUUGCCAGCACGUUAUGGUGGGGACUCAGUGGAGACCGCCGGGGUCAACUCGGAGGAAGGUGGGGAUGACGUCAAGUCAUCAUGCCCCUUAUGUCCAGGGCUUCACGCAUGCUACAAUGGCUGGUACAGAGAGUGGCGAGCCUGUGAGGGUGAGCGAAUCUCGGAAAGCCGGUCUCAGUUCGGAUUGGGGUCUGCAACUCGACCUCAUGAAGUCGGAGUCGCUAGUAAUCGCAGAUCAGCAACGCUGCGGUGAAUACGUUCCCGGGGCUUGUACACACCGCCCGUCAAGUCAUGAAAGUUGGUAACACCCGAAGCCAAUGGCCUAACCGUUGUGGGGGAGCCGUCGAAG
rnacentral:rRNA from 1 species